rnacentral:lncRNA from 1 species
CUCUUCUUCCGCCUAUUAGCAGUGUGACUGUGACUUUCUUCUUGAAAAGACUACUUGACUUUGAAAGAGCUGUGGGCAUAGCUAAACUUUAUCAAAUGCGGGAUCGAGAUUUCCUUUUGAUGCGUAGAAGAGAUCUAGUCUAGGUCAAUGUUUUAUUUUGCUAGAGAAUAUAUAUGUUGUUGUCGACAUAACCGAUGCAGUUAGCUCAAAAGGGAGUUCAGUCACUUCUGGAUCCGGAUUCCAUGAUUGUUGAGUGAGUCAAGGUAGUAUGUUUCUAAACACGGGAUGUAUUUACUAUUAUAUGAAUAAAAAAGAUCUUAUUCUACUAGUAGUUUUCUUACUAUGGAUUGUUUGAUUAAUGAUUAAAUAGAUCUUAAUUUUGAUUACUACCAGUCUAAAGGUAAAAUAGUCAUAAAAAUAUAAAGUUUUGUAUUUUUUCAAGAAAGAAAAGAAUAAAAAGCAUAAAAG